GUGCUCAUUUGGGCAGCACAUACACUAAAAUUGGAAAGAUACAGAGAAGACUAGCAUGGUCCCUGCGCAAGGAUGACACACAAAUUCAUGAAGUGUUCCAUAUUUUU
ensembl:snRNA U6 U6 spliceosomal RNA